UCCGGCUUAACGCCGGCAGUCUCCCUAGAGUGCCCAACUGAAUGGUGGCAACUAAGGACGAGGGUUGCGCUCGUUGCGGGACUUAACCCAACACCUCACGGCACGAGCUGACGACAGCCAUGCAGCACCUGAACCGGCAGUCCCCGAAGGGAAAAUCCUAUUUCUAGGACGGUCCGCCGUUGUCUAGCCCAGGUAAGGUGGGGAUGACGUCAGUGCUUGCCU
rnacentral:misc_RNA from 1 species